rnacentral:lncRNA from 1 species
UUGUACUCAAUGAACGAUAGCAGUUUUGUUUGCAAAUAGGUUCAGAAAUUUGGUUUCCUGCACACAUCAUAUCAGUAAGGCAAUAGCUAGGCAAAGUGUUCUAUUAAGAUUUAGUCAUGACGGGUCUGUUUUCCACUGUAGAGAGGAAAAAGUAGGGACGGUGAAGCCUUGGGUUACAUGACAAAUGCAAAAAACUUUUCAAACAGGUAUACUUUUCUUCGUGUUUUUUGUAUAUGUAUCUAUGAGAAUUAUGCAGCAGUAUCAUAUGGCAAUUUGAUUAUAUUCUCAGGUGUGCCUGCAAUGGAACAUUGGAUUUCAGCAAUAUUAUUGGUUCUGCAUACAAGGGUACUAUCAAAUGGAGUUGAAAUUGCAGCUGCGUUAAGUUUGGUGACAUUUGCAAAGGAUUGGUUGAAAGAACAGAGUCACCAACUCACCAUACAGGAAAAUGUAAGCUGUUACCGAUAGCUUGAAUAAAUGUACACUGCUUAGUUCAUAUUUGAUUCCAGUGCUUUAGCUUUCUUGGAUAGUAGAGUUAUUAUAGAAUAAAUUUGUGUCAGUAUAGACACAGAAACAUACAUAUAGUUGUACAAGGAUAGUAGAGUUAUUAUAGAAUAAAUUUCUGUCAGCAUUUACCUUGACUUGGUUUAUGUUUGAUAUGUAAUCUGAUUAAUG